UUUCUUUUUUAGAGCAUUGGACUUCUUUGGCUGUUGACCAAAUAGGAUGUGGGGAAAAGGAUGCUCUACUGGGUCAUCCAAUAAUGGAAAGUGCCAUUUGGUGACCACUAGGAUGGACUCAAAAGUAAAUUGGAACUUUGACUUGGAGAAUUCAUGGAGAAUCCUUGUUCUGAACACACUUACCUUGCUUCCUCUGAAGUCCUCUCUGGUGUCUUCAACUGUGCUGUCCUGGCUGUCUCAAAGGAAGACACCAAGAAGAGAAGUUGCUGGGCUGACUGGAACCUGUAGUCCUAGUUUUUUGAGGAAUCUCUGCACUGAUUUCCACGGUUGUUGCAUCAGUCUACACUCCCACCAAAACUGGCUGAGGGGAAGAACCCAGUGACAAGCUACAUGGGGUACAACUGAAUCAUCUUAUGAAAAUGAUCACAGCAGUCAUAAAUUACAUCUGUAUGAUGGAU